rnacentral:rRNA from 1 species
UGAACGCUGGCGGUAGGCCUACCACAUGCACGUCGCCCGGCAGCACAGUAAGAGCUUGCUCUUACGGGUGGCGAGUGGCGGACGGGUGAGGAAUACAUCGGAAUCUACUUUUUCGUGGGGGAUAACGUAGGGAAACUUACGCUAAUACCGCAUACGACCUACGGGUGAAAGCAGGGGAUCUUCGGACCUUGCGCGAUUGAAUGAGCCGAUGUCGGAUUAGCUAGUUGGCGGGGUAAAGGCCCACCAAGGCGACGAUCCGUAGCUGGUCUGAGAGGAUGAUCAGCCACACUGGAACUGAGACACGGUCCAGACUCCUACGGGAGGCAGCAGUGGGGAAUAUUGGACAAUGGGCACAAGCCUGAUCCAGCCAUACCGCGUGGGUGAAGAAGGCCUUCGGGUUGUAAAGCCCUUUUGUUGGGAAAGAAAAGCAGCAGGUUAAUACCCCGCUGUUCUGACGGUACCCAAAGAAUAAGCACCGGCUAACUUCGUG